CGGUGUUUAACUGGCGUGAUGUGGGACGUCCUACCGGUGGGCUUAGCCUCGCGAGGGGCGGCCCAACUAAUAUCCCGUCGCGGUGCUCUUUACUGAGUGUCGAGUCGGGCCGGUACGUUUACUUUGAACAAAUUAGAGUGCUUAAAGCAGGCUAUCCUCGCCUGAAUACUGCGUGCAUGGAAUAAUGGAAUAGGACCUCGGUUCUAUUUUGUUGGUUUUCGGAACCCCGAGGUAAUGAUUAAUAGGGACAGAUGGGGGCAUUCGUAUUGCGACGUUAGAGGUGAAAUUCUUGGAUCGUCGCAAGACGGACAGAAGCGAAAGCAUUUGCCAAAAAUGUUUUCUUUAAUCAAGAACGAAAGUUAGAGGUUCGAAGGCGAUCAGAUACCGCCCUAGUUCUAACCAUAAACGAUGCCAGCUAGCGAUCCCGCCGAAGUUCCUCCGAUGACUCGGGCGGGCAGCUUCCGGGAAACCAAAGCUUUUGGGUUCCGGGGGAAGUAUGGUUGCAAAGCUGAAACUUAAAGGAAUUGACGGAAGGGCACCACCAGGGAGUGGGAGCCUGCGGCUUAAUUUGACUCAACACGGGGAAACCUCACCAGGCCCAGACACCGGAAGGGAUUGACAGAUUGAUAGCUCUUUCUUGAUUCGGUGGGGUGGUGGUGGCAUGGCCGUUCUUAGUUGGUGGAGCGAUUUGUCUGGUUAAUUCCGAUAACGAACGAGACUCUAGCCUGCUAAAUAGGCGUACCUUAUGGUAUCGCGAAGGCCCCCGGCUUCGGCCGGUGGGUUUUUACUACCAACGUACAAACAAAUCUUCUUAGAGGGACAGGCGG
rnacentral:rRNA from 1 species